rfam:Salmo salar isolate Sally breed double haploid chromosome ssa27, whole genome shotgun sequence.
AGAAACAUUGUUUGUAAGUCGCUCUGGAUAAGAGCGUCUGCUAAAUGACUUAAA